CAUAUUGACAAAAUUGAACAAUUGUAAAAACUUGGCAUUUUUUGGUUCCAACUUCGAAUCAUUUGUUAACGAUAAAUUAUCCUUAACAGAUAUUUCAAUAUUGGUAUUCAUCAUCGGAUAAUGAAUACUAACAUAUGGCGUUAAAAUGUAAAUAAACUAAGAUUGCCUACAGAGAAAAACUGUGUUGAUUUUGAUGGAAAUUAAACUUUGAUAAGAUGUGUAAUCUUAUUUUGAUAAGAUGUAGAUUCUUCAUUAAACUAUGAAAUUAUUAAUAAAAGAAAAACUUCGGAUAAUUUUGGUGGUCUUGAUAUUUUGGUGUAUUUUUAUAUUCAUUUCUAAUGGUUGGAAAUACUUGAGCCAAAUAUUUAUAAGUGAGGAAACAGUAGAUGUGGUUGUUGAAAAUCAGAAAAUAAAUGUAACUCAAGAAAAUAG
rnacentral:lncRNA from 1 species